CGCGGUAGACAGCAAAUCUCCAGUCACGUUUGGGUGCUGGUGGUGAACAUAUGGCUUACCUAAAAGACGCGAUGCAAGCACCGGAAUUAAGAUGAAGAAGAGGAUGAUGAUGGUGAUGAUGGCCCGUCCAUCUAAGCACGAUUCUUCUUUUCUAUCCUCCGUCGGCGUGUCGAUGAUCUCCUAACUAGGCCAUUUCUCCCCGGCUCGCAAUUAUUUCUCAGGAGAGCAACGCAGUCGCAGGCUUCCGCACAUCAGCACACCUUCUCGGUGUCCGUCUUUCUCCGGCUUUUCCAAAAAAAAGCACACCUCAUACUGGCCCCCUCCUCCUCCUCCUCCUCUCAUCCCUCUCUGACAACACCCCUGCUAUGUUUCCUUCUCCACGGAAUAUUUGACUUUUUCUUUUCUUCUUUUUUUUAAUCAGGCGGAGACGCAGCAGCGAGUGCGACCCAAACACGGGAAGGAGAGAGGGAGAACGAGAGAGGGGGGAAAAUGAACUCACAGGAAAAUAAAUGCGUAACGCUAUAGCGUCAGGACUCGCGCGUCGCUUCAAAAGUCAACGCAGCGAUCUGUCCUCUUUCUCUCCCCCCAUUUGCCCGCGCUGAUAAUAAUCCGCGGUGUGCGCCCCCGCUGUGCCGAACGGCCCCCUUUAAAGAAAAAAAAAAAAGAUUACAGGUUGACUGACUUAAAACACGAAACAGCGCUUCAGCGAAGACACCCCACCGAAAUCAGGUGUCCAAUCUCUUCUUCGCGCGCUUGCGUGGUGCUCUCUCUCUCUCUCUCUCUCUCUCUCUCUCUCUCUCUUCACUUGGUCUCUGAUGCUAAGGAGAGAAAGCUCGGAAUGAGAAAACAGAGCCCGCACCUUCCGAUCAGCCCGGUGCUUUUGGAACAACACCUGAAAGGCUGUGAAUAUCAGGAUGAUGCAGUGGUAUUUAUUUUUGAAGCCCGCACUGAAGGAGAUCCCACUGCUUUUCAAUCUCCCUCUCUCGCUCUCUCUCUGAGCGCAGUCUCAUUGACUCUCGCGCAAUAUUUCAGUCUCACUGCUAGUUGUCAUGACGAGGAGGCGAGACGCAUAAUUCGGCGGAAAAGGGCGCUCGAUCUGCUGAAAUACUCGCGUGGAAAAGCAAAACGCGUUUGCUUCCAGCGUUUAUAGGUGAUGAUCUGUGCCAGGCUGACGCAGAGUUUUGUUUUCUUCUUUUUAAUUUUUUUAAAUUUAUUUUUGGUACUUUUUUGGUGGGUGAAAUAUGAAACACCGUAAUAUACGAAUGCACGGGUUACAUAUAGAGCAAUAAUAAUACAAAUAACAGCAACAAUAAAUACUUACCUAUAAUUUCUGCUUCCUGGUUGAGUAUAUUAUUCAAGGAAAAUGAGCAUGGAUGCAGAGCUCAGCUGGUACACAGUAAAGACUACCUGCAUUGAUGUGACCACUAGGUGGCAGCACAAGCACAACAUGCCAGCCAAAAGUGACCAGUUAGUGUCCCUAAUAGCGUAUUCAAAUUAAAUCGUUGGGGUUCGCCUCUAUGCUGUGAAUUGAACUGAGCUGAAUCAGUUGUGUUGGCAAUCAAUUGUUUGAUGAAUCUUGCCACGAUACUAACUUUCUAUUAAGUUCUGUUUUGUUCUUCGCUCACCCUCGAGGGAAAUAUGUGGCCCUUCAGCUGCUAGAUGCUUUCUCUGUUUGUCAUUUGGUCCUCGACAGGUAGCAUGAAGCAGGGGGCUUUAAAGCUGUUUUUGAUCAAAGUAAUUGCG
ensembl:lncRNA